rnacentral:rRNA from 1 species
GAUGAACGCUGGCGGCGUGCUUUACACAUGCAAGUCGAACGAAGCACUCUAUUUGAUUUUCUUCGGAAAUGAAGAUUUUGUGACUGAGUGGCGGACGGGUGAGUAACGCGUGGGUAACCUGCCUCAUACAGGGGGAUAACAGUUGGAAACGACUGCUAAUACCGCAUAAGCGCACAGUAUCGCAUGAUACAGUGUGAAAAACUCCGGUGGUAUGAGAUGGACCCGCGUCUGAUUAGCUAGUUGGUGGGGCAACGGCCUACCAAGGCGACGAUCAGUAGCCGACCUGAGAGGGUGACCGGCCCAAUCGGGACUGAGACACGGCCCAAACUCCUACGGGAGGCAGCAGUGGGGAAUAUUGCACAAUGGGGGAAACCCUGAUGCAGCGACGCCGCGUGAACGAAGAAGUAUUUCGGUAUGUAAAGUUCUAUCAGCAGGGAAGAUAAUGACGGUACCUGACUAAGAAGCACCGGCUAAAUACGUGCCAGCCGCCGCAGUAA